CAUGCCCCGCGAUCGGAUGGCCUGGAAGCGUUCUCGCGCGCGUGGACGGCCUAGAUCCAUUCCAUCCUCAGGCGCGAUCGGACGAUCGCAAUUAAACGCGAUGAACGAUCCAGAUUCGUUCACUCUUUAAACACGAUUGAACAGUUGAGAUCAAAUCGUGAUGAACGGUCCGUAUUCAUUUUUUCUUUAAACACAAUCGGACGAUCGAGAUCCAACGUGAUUAAUAACCUAAAGUAACGCGAGACGAGUAUAAAUAUUUCACAUAACACCGAACCCAAAACCCUAGUUACUAGCCUCCUACCAGAAAAGAAGAACCAGUUGCUGGAGAAGGGAGCCGACCGUCAUCC
rnacentral:lncRNA from 1 species